AAACAUCUGGACUUUUAAAGAAGGGACCAAGCGUCAAGAAUAUCUGAUGAAUAUUUGGCAGACGGCCAGAAAUUGACAAGCAUGCAGUUAGUUUGCUAUGAGUUCCUUAAUUUCACUCUGAAUGAGAAAGAUAUCCAAUAGGAGCCACACAGAUAAAUCUUCGACUCUCAGGGGUCUGCUGGGAAGGCAUCAUGCCAACCUUCCACCAUCAAUGAGCAAGUUCAGCAGAUUAAGAAGUAGGAGAAACUGAAUAUUGAGCUCAAGAAGAAAACCUCUAUGGAGAUUUUCUUGUUGACUGGGCUCAUAGCUUCAGACCUGAAGUCAGGGAUAUUAUGGACAAUGGAGAUCCAUUUGAAAGAAGCUGCUUACCUUGGAGGAACAGGGAAACAGUGAGCAAGAGUAAGAUGUUUGUCCACUACCUGAUCCCUUGCUGAGAACAAAGUCUCCUCUUCACAGCCUGAAAACUGGGCA